UGGUUUGUAUUAUCGAGGUUCAGUACACUGGUCUAUGACAUAAAGGUUCACUACUCUGGUUUAUAUUAUCGAGGUUCAGUACACUGGUUCAUAGUAUCGAGGUCCCGACACAAAAGUUGACGAGACU